CAUGGAGGGUGAGAAUCCCGUCUUUGACACGGACUACCGAGGCUUUGUGGUGCGCUCUCAAAGAGUCGAGUUGUUUGGGAUUGCAGCUCAAAAUGGGAGGUAAAUUUCUCCUAAGGCUAAAUAUUGGCGAGAGACCGAUAGCGAACAAGUACCGUGAGGGAAAGAUGAAAAGAAUUUUGAAAAGAAAGUCAAACAGUACGUGAAAUUGUUGAAAGGGAAACGAUUGAAGCCAGUCGUACCGACGGGAAUUCAACUUCUCGAGUGCUAAUCGUGGGUGACGUUGAGCCUCACGGCCUUCGUUGCUUGUGUUGUUGGUGCUUUUGGGGUGUACUUUUCCGUAUGGUAGGUCAGCAUCGAUUUCGAUCGUCAUAAAAUGAUCGGGGGAAUGUAGCUUCGGUCUCGUAUCGGAGUGUUAUAGACCUUGGUAGAUGUGACGAUUGGGAUCGAGGAUUGCAACGAAUACCCUCUGGGCUAUCCGUCUGACCUCUGAAAGUCGCUCGGGUGUCGAAAGCGUGCUUAUGGCUAUUCGAGUUGGCGGUCAACAGGUUAGAACGUGAUUACAUUCGUUAAGGAUGUUGACGUA
rnacentral:rRNA from 1 species